rnacentral:rRNA from 1 species
GACGAACGCUGGCGGCGUGCUUAACGCAUGCAAGUCGAACGCUGAAGCUUGGUGCUUGCACUGGGUGGAUGAGUGGCGAACGGGUGAGUAAUAAGUGAGUAACCUGCCCUUGACUCUGGGAUAAGCCUGGGAAACUGGGUCUAAUACUGGAUACGACAUGUCACCGCAUGGUGGUGUGUGGAAAGGGUUUUACUGGUUUUGGAUGGGCUCACGGCCUAUCAGCUUGUUGGUGGGGUAAUGGCUCACCAAGGCGACGACGGGUAGCCGGCCUGAGAGGGUGACCGGCCACACUGGGACUGAGACACGGCCCAGACUCCUACGGGAGGCAGCAGUGGGGAAUAUUGCACAAUGGGCGGAAGCCUGAUGCAGCGACGCCGCGUGAGGGAUGACGGCCUUCGGGUUGUAAACCUCUUUCAGCACGGAAGAAGCGAAAGUGACGGUACGUGCAGAAGAAGCGCCGGCUAACUACGUG